rnacentral:rRNA from 1 species
AGUAACGCGUGGUCAACCUACCGUUGAGUGGGGGAUAACUAGCCGAAAGGUUAGCUAAUACCGCAUACGUCUCCGAGUGGCAUCACUUGGCGAUAAAAGGAGCAAUCCGCUCGAUGACGGGACCGCGUCCCAUUAGCUAGAUGGUGGGGUAACGGCCUACCAUGGCUCCGAUGGGUAGCUGGUUUGAGAGAGCGACCAGCCACACUGGGACUGAGAAACGGCCCAG